rnacentral:rRNA from 1 species
AUACGGAGGGUGCAAGCGUUAAUCGGAAUUACUGGGCGUAAAGCGCACGCAGGCGGUCUGUCAAGUCGGAUGUGAAAUCCCCGGGCUCAACCUGGGAACUGCAUCCGAAACUGGCAGGCUUGAGUCUCGUAGAGGGGGGUAGAAUUCCAGGUGUAGCGGUGAAAUGCGUAGAGAUCUGGAGGAAUACCGGUGGCGAAGGCGGCCCCCUGGACGAAGACUGACGCUCAGGUGCGAAAGCGUGGGGAGCAAACAGGAUUAGAUACCCUGGUAGUCCACGCCGUAAACGAUGUCGACUUGGAGGUUGUGCCCUUGAGGCGUGGCUUCCGGAGCUAACGCGUUAAGUCGACCGCCUGGGGAGUACGGCCGCAAGGUUAAA